AAGAGUAAAGGAUGGAUGUAGGGGUGAAAGGAGAGGCUUCAAAAGCAGCCAUGGUGAGGGGAGGGGAGUUCAUUCUCAGGAUCCUGUCCUGAGAAUGACUGCUGAAGUAGCAGGUGGUUAUGGCAGGUGGCUGAGAUCCAAGCUGGUUCGAAUACCAGCCACAUUUCUACACUGCCAAAUGUCAUGGAUGGCAAGAGAAGACUUGACAGGGGACCGACGAGGAGCCAGGAUCUUCCCUACCUGGUACCAUCAAAGAGGGAGGACUGUUACGACCUCCUGUGGGUCCUGACAGGGAAAGGCCCUCUUUUGGGGGUAACUGUGGGGAUGGCAUAAUGCCAACGUGAGCCAACAUUUGAAAUGAGAAAAAGUGGUGUCGCAUAAAGAAAUGGGUCUGGUGCAGACCAGUGGUUGAUUUCCUAGGGUUAGAGGUCUAGCUGUGCCUUCUUUUACGCAAGGAGCAGUGGUGAGAGCCUGAUGGGAGCCCCUUGCCCUGCAGUUCACUUAAGAGCAGGUGUACCUUCAUCCCCUGCCUGGCUAUAUCAGGCAGGGAAAGAAACGCUCAGGACCACCCUAGAGUCCCGGGCCUAUAUGGCCUGAAAUCGCCUCUCCCCUCCCAGACUGCAGUGCUGACACCCGAUCUCCCAUUAGCAUACAGGAAGGGGGGUGAGGAGACUGGAGAGAGGGAGGGGGCAGACACCCAGCAGUCCUUGUCGGGGGAGGGUUGGGAGGGGGUGCAGACACACCAAGGGGCGGCUUGGUAUCCAUCCGCUGCUCCCUCCAGUGCGGCUCUUCCCGACCUCCCGAUCCUGUCCCCCGCCCUGGUCCCCAGCCGCCCGCUGGUCCCACAUAUUGUAGCAGCGCCAGAAAUAUGGUGGUGGUCGCCACGUUUUAGGGUCUGCGAGGGCCUCCUGACGCAGCCUGGUGUCAACACGCACAUCCAGGCUGGGGCUCGUGGUGGCCCCGCCCACCUCUGGGUCGGAACUACGGAACUACGGUGGGCCUGGGAGGGGGCGUCGAGCGCUUUCGCGCCGUAUCCCUCCGCCCCCCUUUCCCCACACCCUUGCGGCGAGCUGUUCUUGCCGCAUCCUGCGCAGCCCCUGCCUACUUUGCUGCAGAGGCGUGGGGGGCGGGACGCCUCUUUGCCAUUCGGAACGCGGGGAAAGCGGUGGGAAUCCAAGUGAGGAGCCGCCAAAGGAGAGCUGAGGAGAGGAGGGGGAGGCUGACGACCUGGGCCCUGGGCCUCUGAAGGCAAGUGGGGGCCUGCUUCAAGGCUGGUCAGUUCUGCAAGAAAGGCAAGAGAGAGGAGUCUGGCUCACACCUCUGGAGGACCCCCUUCUGUCAGCUGUG